GUCGGCGUAGCUCAGUUGGUUAGAGCACAUCACUCAUAAAGAUGAGGUCGGUGGAUCGUUCCCACCCGCCGACA
rnacentral:tRNA from 1 species